rnacentral:tRNA from 1 species
UCUCUGGUGGCUCAGUGGUAAGGAACCUGCCUGCCAAGCAGGAGACUUGGGUUCAAUCCCUGGAUUGGGAA